UAUUGGGCUCCACCUAAAUGCUCUGCCGUAUAGGAGGCAAUCCAAUCUGCACUAUUCGCCUCCUGAUACAUAUGAGUGGCCCAAAAGAAGGUGCAACUUCCUACCAUACUCCAAAUGUCUCGUAAUAAUAGGGUACAUCUGCCAUCAAUGCCUAUCUCAUGAUCCACACAAUUAUCCUCGUAGUGUCACCCUUGAGUAAGAUGCAAUCUGCCCUAAGGGUGAGACUCACAAAGCUGGUUCCCUCCUAGGCCACUCUUAGCUCAACUCUAGGAACUGAAAUAUCAAAAAUCUAACUGCCACGACAUCAAUAAAUCUAGAAUUUGAGCCUAUGAUCAU
rnacentral:lncRNA from 1 species